rnacentral:tRNA from 1 species
GAAGGGAUGUAGCGCAGCUUGGUAGCGCGUUUGUUUUGGGUACAAAAUGUCACGGGUUCAAAUCCUGUCAUCCCGUUGAAAAUUCGUCCGAGAGUCGCUCCACCGACCGGAACACUUAGCGGAGCUCCCGUAUCAAUUACGUCCAUUCCUCUCGUUAGACCGUCUGUAG